GGCAGCACAAGACCUUCUGGGGGCACUCCACCGGAAAAGGGAAGAAAGCCUCAGAUAACAUUCCUAAGAUUCAGAGAUGGGACUAACUUAUUCAAGACCAUACAACUAGGCUAUGUAAGAACUACAACUUAUAUCAAGAGCUUUUGACUAUGAGUACAGGAAGCUUUCCAGUAACCCAUCAACCACUGAGCUGCAUGGUAUCUGAAAAUCAUUUUGGAGCCUAUUUAUCUGCUCAACAGAAGUGUUGCAGAGUUGCCAUCACUUGAUGUCUUAAUUUGGAUUAUGCCUUCAGGGAACCAGCUUUUGAAAUAUCUGGACCAGACAAGUAACAAAUUUCCCCACCAUGGUGGGAAGAUUCUUUGAAUGGAGUUUCAACAACUUCUGAAAAGCAAGCAGUUGUGUCACUGAAGAGAACAAGCAGACCACUGUAGCAAGGAGAGCCCCAAUAUUCUUUCCAUUCCUCAAGAGGAGGUUUCUGCCAAUCAGGUUUUCAUUACUUCAGCAGCGACACUGUAUUGAAGUGGUGUCAAAGUUCAAUUUUUAUAAGACCAAAGUUUGAGAUUAAUAAUGUGAGGGAAAUUUAUGUAUCAGAAUGGACCUGUAGAAGGAAAUCUACCUUGUGAAUUUGCUAAAGGAACAGUCAUUACAUUUUUGGCAGUAAUCAGGUCUAUCGAGAGCAGUAGCUGUGGUCUGAGAAAAACACCAGAGCAGUUUGAUUUUUCUUAAGGUAGAAGACAAUAGGGAGUCAAAAGAAGCAGGAUGAAAAUAAGGGAUAUUAUGCCAGUAAAGCUUUUAGUCAGCUAAUAGAGGGGGUCAAAGCACAAUAACAGGCAAGAUGUGUGGCAGAGAAAAGGGGAAGGAGAGGGUGCUGAAGAGUUGGAAAGUCAAUCUUGGUGCCUCAUCCUGAGGGGAGCUGUCCACCUGUGCAGGUAGCAGCUUGUUCUAUUAACUUGACUUAAGGAUAUGUUGAGUUUAAGCUGCUUUUGAGACAUCCAAGACAGCAUACCAAGCAGCAUUUGGAUGUAUAGGUUAGAAGGUUAAAACAAAGAGCUCUAAGGUGGAGAUAGAAAUUUGUAGCUCAUCUCCCUACAGAUUCUGGAUGGAGCCAUGGAGCCCCCUGGGAGAGAGUCUCAAGACAGAAGAGAACAGGAUUCGACUCUGCCAACCUCCAUGCUCUCAGUCCCACCAUGCUGCUUCUGGACCCACUGCAAAUUUCCCCUGUCUUUGGCCAGGUGGACCAGCCAAUGCCAUCUAUUCUGAGCAUGAACAGAAGGUUGCUGUUUCUAAGAAGUCAGGGGUCCUCCCUCGACACCAUCCUUCCACACUCCCUUUAUUGGUUGAGUAAACAGAGGUUGGGUUAGACAUAGCAGCAACAAAGAGAAGUACUCCUCUUUUUAUAAGCAUGGUCUAGAGAGUGUUUUCUAUAACUGCCACUAUAUCAUCACUUAAUUAGCAUCCCCUGUAAUGCUCUAAAUUCCUUCCUAUCUUACAUCUACCCAUAAUAGAGAAGUCCAUCAUAAUGUGUUGCCCUUAUCCUUGAAAAAUAUAUAGGGAUGUAAAAAUUAUAGUUGUUCCUCCAUAUUGGAUGGGGAUUGGUUCCAGAAUCCCCCACCCUCCUUCUCCAAAGAUACCAAAAUCUGAGGAUGCUCAAGUCUCUGAUAUAAAAUGGUGUAGUAUUUGCAUAUAACCUAUG
rnacentral:lncRNA from 1 species